rnacentral:rRNA from 1 species
CACGUAGGGCGCAAGCGUUGUCCGGAAUUAUUGGGCGUAAAGAGCUCGUAGGCGGCCUGUUGCGUCCGCUGUGAAAUCCCCGGGGCUUAACCCCGGGCUUGCAGUGGAUACGGGCAGGCUGGAGGCAGGCAGGGGAGAAUGGAAUUCCGGUGUAGCGGUGAAAUGCGCAGAUAUCGGGAGGAACACCGGUGGCGAAGGCGGUUCUCUGGGCCGUGUUCGUGACGCUGGAGGAGCGAAAGCGUGGGGAGCGAACAGGA